rnacentral:piRNA from 1 species
UGAAGCAUACUCCAUCAUACCAAAUUGUGU